rnacentral:rRNA from 1 species
GAUGAACGCUGGCGGCGUGCCUAAUACAUGCAAGUCGAGCGAACGGACGAGAAGCUUGCUUCUCUGAUGUUAGCGGCGGACGGGUGAGUAACACGUGGAUAACCUACCUAUAAGACUGGGAUAACUUCGGGAAACCGGAGCUAAUACCGGAUAAUAUUUUGAACCGCAUGGUUCAAAAGUGAAAGACGGUCUUGCUGUCACUUAUAGAUGGAUCCGCGCUGCAUUAGCUAGUUGGUAAGGUAACGGCUUACCAAGGCAACGAUGCAUAGCCGACCUGAGAGGGUGAUCGGCCACACUGGAACUGAGACACGGUCCAGACUCCUACGGGAGGCAGCAGUAGGGAAUCUUCCGCAAUGGGCGAAAGCCUGACGGAGCAACGCCGCGUGAGUGAUGAAGGUCUUCGGAUCGUAAAACUCUGUUAUUAGGGAAGAACAUAUGUGUAAGUAACUGUGCACAUCUUGACGGUACCUAAUCAGAAAGCCACGGCUAACUACGUGCCAGCAGCCGCGGUAAUACGUAGGUGGCAAGCGUUAUCCGGAAUUAUUGGGCGUAAAGCGCGCGUAGGCGGUUUUUUAGUCUGAUGUGAAAGCCCACGGCUCAACCGUGGAGGGUCAUUGGAAACUGGAAAACUUGAGUGCAGAAGAGGAAAGUGGAAUUCCAUGUGUAGCGGUGAAAUGCGCAGAGAUAUGGAGGAACACCAGUGGCGAAGGCGACUUUCUGGUCUGUAACUGACGCUGAUGUGCGAAAGCGUGGGGAUCAAACAGGAUUAGAUACCCUGGUAGUCCACGCCGUAAACGAUGAGUGCUAAGUGUUAGGGGGUUUCCGCCCCUUAGUGCUGCAGCUAACGCAUUAAGCACUCCGCCUGGGGAGUACGACCGCAAGGUUGAAACUCAAAGGAAUUGACGGGGACCCGCACAAGCGGUGGAGCAUGUGGUUUAAUUCGAAGCAACGCGAAGAACCUUACCAAAUCUUGACAUCCUUUGACAACUCUAGAGAUAGAGCCUUCCCCUUCGGGGGACAAAGUGACAGGUGGUGCAUGGUUGUCGUCAGCUCGUGUCGUGAGAUGUUGGGUUAAGUCCCGCAACGAGCGCAACCCUUAAGCUUAGUUGCCAUCAUUAAGUUGGGCACUCUAAGUUGACUGCCGGUGACAAACCGGGGGAAGGUGGGGAUGACGUCAAAUCAUCAUGCCCCUUAUGAUUUGGGCUACACACGUGCUACAAUGGACAAUACAAAGGGCAGCGAAACCGCGAGGUCAAGCAAAUCCCAUAAAGUUGUUCUCAGUUCGGAUUGUAGUCUGCAACUCGACUACAUGAAGCUGGAAUCGCUAGUAAUCGUAGAUCAGCAUGCUACGGUGAAUACGUUCCCGGGUCU